AUUGAACGCUGGCGGCAUGCCUAAUACAUGCAAGUCGAACGAACAGACGAGGGCCUUGCUCCUGUGACGUUAGCGGCGGACGGGUGAGUAACACGUGGAUAAGCUAUCUAUAAGACGGUGAUAACGUCGGAACACCAGUGCUAAUACCUACGAAUAUAGGAUGCCACAGGGGUCAAUAGUGAAAUACGGUUUUGCUGUCGCUUAUAGAUGGAUCCGCGCCGCAUUAGCUAGUUGGUAAGGUAACGGCUUACCAAGGCAACGAUCAGUAGCCGGUCUGAGAGGGUGAUCAGCCACACUGGAACUGAGACACGGUCCAGACUCCUACGGGAGGCAGCAGUAGGGAAUGUUCGACAAUGGGCGAAAGCCUGAUCGAGCAAUGCCGCGUGAGUGAUGAAGGUCUUCGGAUCGUAAAACUCUGUUAUCCGGGAAGAAAAACUGUGUCCGUAAAUAGGCGGGUCAUGACGGUACCUAAUGAGAAAGCACCGGCUAACUACGUG
rnacentral:rRNA from 1 species